rnacentral:misc_RNA from 1 species
CCAAUAGCGUAUAUUAAAGUUGUUGUGGUUAAAAAGCUCGUAGUUGAACCUUGGGCCUGGCUGGCCGGUCCGCCUCACCGCGUGUACUGGUCCGGCCGGGCCUUUCCCUCUGUGGAACCUCAUGCCCUUCACUGGGUGUGACGGGGAAGCAGGACUUUUACUGUGAAAAAAUUAGAGUGCUCCAAGCAGGCCUAUGCUCGAAUACAUUAGCAUGGAAUAAUAAAAUAGGACGUGCGGUUCUAUUUUGUUGGUUUCUAGGACCGCCGUAAUGAUUAAUAGGGACAGUCGGGGGCAUCAGUAUUCAAUUGUCAGAGGUGAAAUUCUUGGAUUUAUUGAAGACUAACUACUGCGAAAGCAUUUGCCAAGGAUGUUUUCAUUAAUCAGGAACGAAAGUUAGGGGAUCGAAGACGAUCAGAUACCGUCGUAGUCUUAACCAUAAACUAUGCCGACUAGGGAUCGGAUGAUGUUAAUUUUUUAAUGACUCAUUCGGCGCCUUACG